rnacentral:rRNA from 1 species
UUAAGCGACUAAGCGUACACGGUGGAUGCCCUGGCAGUCAGAGGCGAUGAAGGACGUGCUAAUCUGCGAUAAGCGUCGGUAAGGUGAUAUGAACCGUUAUAACCGGCGAUUUCCGAAUGGGGAAACCCAGUGUGAUUCGUCACACUAUCAUUAACUGAAUCCAUAGGUUAAUGAGGCGAACCGGGGGAACUGAAACAUCUAAGUACCCCGAGGAAAAGAAAUCAACCGAGAUUCCCCCAGUAGCGGCGAGCGAACGGGGAGCAGCCCAGAGCCUGAAUCAGUGUGUGUGUUAGUGGAAGCGUCUGGAAAGGCGCGCGAUACAGGGUGACAGCCCCGUACACAAAAAUGCACAUGCUGUGAGCUCGAUGAGUAGGGCGGGACACGUGGUAUCCUGUCUGAAUAUGGGGGGACCAUCCUCCAAGGCUAAAUACUCCUGACUGACCGAUAGUGAACCAGUACCGUGAGGGAAAGGCGAAAAGAACCCCGGCGAGGGGAGUGAAAAAGAACCUGAAACCGUGUACGUACAAGCAGUGGGAGCACGCUUAGGCGUGUGACUGCGUACCUUUUGUAUAAUGGGUCAGCGACUUAUAUUCUGUAGCAAGGUUAACCGAAUAGGGGAGCCGAAGGGAAACCGAGUCUUAACUGGGCGUUAAGUUGCAGGGUAUAGACCCGAAACCCGGUGAUCUAGCCAUGGGCAGGUUGAAGGUUGGGUAACACUAACUGGAGGACCGAACCGACUAAUGUUGAAAAAUUAGCGGAUGACUUGUGGCUGGGGGUGAAAGGCCAAUCAAACCGGGAGAUAGCUGGUUCUCCCCGAAAGCUAUUUAGGUAGCGCCUCGUGAAUUCAUCUCCGGGGGUAGAGCACUGUUUCGGCAAGGGGGUCAUCCCGACUUACCAACCCGAUGCAAACUGCGAAUACCGGAGAAUGUUAUCACGGGAGACACACGGCGGGUGCUAACGUCCGUCGUGAAGAGGGAAACAACCCAGACCGCCAGCUAAGGUCCCAAAGUCAUGGUUAAGUGGGAAACGAUGUGGGAAGGCCCAGACAGCCAGGAUGUUGGCUUAGAAGCAGCCAUCAUUUAAAGAAAGCGUAAUAGCUCACUGGUCGAGUCGGCCUGCGCGGAAGAUGUAACGGGGCUAAACCAUGCACCGAAGCUGCGGCAGCGACGCUUAUGCGUUGUUGGGUAGGGGAGCGUUCUGUAAGCCUGCGAAGGUGUGCUGUGAGGCAUGCUGGAGGUAUCAGAAGUGCGAAUGCUGACAUAAGUAACGAUAAAGCGGGUGAAAAGCCCGCUCGCCGGAAGACCAAGGGUUCCUGUCCAACGUUAAUCGGGGCAGGGUGAGUCGACCCCUAAGGCGAGGCCGAAAGGCGUAGUCGAUGGGAAACAGGUUAAUAUUCCUGUACUUGGUGUUACUGCGAAGGGGGGACGGAGAAGGCUAUGUUGGCCGGGCGACGGUUGUCCCGGUUUAAGCGUGUAGGCUGGUUUUCCAGGCAAAUCCGGAAAAUCAAGGCUGAGGCGUGAUGACGAGGCACUACGGUGCUGAAGCAACAAAUGCCCUGCUUCCAGGAAAAGCCUCUAAGCAUCAGGUAACAUCAAAUCGUACCCCAAACCGACACAGGUGGUCAGGUAGAGAAUACCAAGGCGCUUGAGAGAACUCGGGUGAAGGAACUAGGCAAAAUGGUGCCGUAACUUCGGGAGAAGGCACGCUGAUAUGUAGGUGAAGUCCCUCGCGGAUGGAGCUGAAAUCAGUCGAAGAUACCAGCUGGCUGCAACUGUUUAUUAAAAACACAGCACUGUGCAAACACGAAAGUGGACGUAUACGGUGUGACGCCUGCCCGGUGCCGGAAGGUUAAUUGAUGGGGUUAGCGCAAGCGAAGCUCUUGAUCGAAGCCCCGGUAAACGGCGGCCGUAACUAUAACGGUCCUAAGGUAGCGAAAUUCCUUGUCGGGUAAGUUCCGACCUGCACGAAUGGCGUAAUGAUGGCCAGGCUGUCUCCACCCGAGACUCAGUGAAAUUGAACUCGCUGUGAAGAUGCAGUGUACCCGCGGCAAGACGGAAAGACCCCGUGAACCUUUACUAUAGCUUGACACUGAACAUUGAGCCUUGAUGUGUAGGAUAGGUGGGAGGCUUUGAAGUGUGGACGCCAGUCUGCAUGGAGCCGACCUUGAAAUACCACCCUUUAAUGUUUGAUGUUCUAACGUUGACCCGUAAUCCGGGUUGCGGACAGUGUCUGGUGGGUAGUUUGACUGGGGCGGUCUCCUCCUAAAGAGUAACGGAGGAGCACGAAGGUUGGCUAAUCCUGGUCGGACAUCAGGAGGUUAGUGCAAUGGCAUAAGCCAGCUUGACUGCGAGCGUGACGGCGCGAGCAGGUGCGAAAGCAGGUCAUAGUGAUCCGGUGGUUCUGAAUGGAAGGGCCAUCGCUCAACGGAUAAAAGGUACUCCGGGGAUAACAGGCUGAUACCGCCCAAGAGUUCAUAUCGACGGCGGUGUUUGGCACCUCGAUGUCGGCUCAUCACAUCCUGGGGCUGAAGUAGGUCCCAAGGGUAUGGCUGUUCGCCAUUUAAAGUGGUACGCGAGCUGGGUUUAGAACGUCGUGAGACAGUUCGGUCCCUAUCUGCCGUGGGCGCUGGAGAAUUGAGGGGGGCUGCUCCUAGUACGAGAGGACCGGAGUGGACGCAUCACUGGUGUUCGGGUUGUCAUGCCAAUGGCACUGCCCGGUAGCUAAAUGCGGAAGAGAUAAGUGCUGAAAGCAUCUAAGCACGAAACUUGCCCCGAGAUGAGUUCUCCCUGACUCCUUGAGAGUCCUGAAGGAACGUUGAAGACGACGACGUUGAUAGGCCGGGUGUGUAAGCGCAGCGAUGCGUUGAGCUAACCGGUACUAAUGAACCGUGAGGCUUAACCUU